UUGAUUUAUUUUCCAGAUAGCCAUGAUUUGUUGAAAACAUCAUACAAAAUCUACAAUUAACUGACUUUGAAGAAAAAAACAUCAAGAGAAAAAAUAGCAAAACUAAAAAAUUUAAUAAAAAUGCCUGUGGGAGGAAGAACAGCCGGCAAAUUUGGAUACUCGGAUAACAGUUAUUACAGCGGACGUUCCUAUAAGGAUAUUAACGAUGAGAUAAUCUGGGUGAGCAUCGGAAUGGGCAUAACCAUUGCCGUUCUCAUUACGAUUGCUUUAUGUUACAUUGUUUACGAGAAAUGUCAAAAGAAGCGAGAGUACUAUAUUAAUGCAUAACGUAACCAAGUGAAGUCACCAUCUUUAACCUGUUUUUAUCAUCUAUUUCUAACGGAUGCGACAGGACUAUCUAAAUGUCUUGGUUCUUUUCUCUUUAUUUUAAAAGUGGAAAGAGCGUUACGUUUACUUGACUACGAGAAUAUGACGUUUUUGGAUCAAAGAAAGUAGCUGAAGCAUCAAAAGGAAAUGGAAACAAAAACAAAAUAUAAAUAAUAAAAAAAAUUAUUCUGGGACCAAAAAAAAAAUAUAAAACAAAAAGAAAACCGAAAACAAGCACACAAGAAUAUAAUAACAGAAAAUGAUAAUGUAGAUGUAGAAUAAUAAUAAUAUAAAAAAAAAAAAGAAAAAAAUAAUAUACAUUUGAAUGUUUACCACUAUUUUUUACAUGUGUAUAAAGUCUA